rnacentral:rRNA from 1 species
GACGAACGCUGGCGGCGUGCUUAACACAUGCAAGUCGAACGGAAAGGCCCCCACUUUUUUGGUGGGGGUGCUCGAGUGGCGAACGGGUGAGUAACGCGUGGGAAUAUGCCUCUUGGUACGGAAUAGCCUCGGGAAACUGGGAGUAAUACCGUAUGUGCCCUUUGGGGGAAAGAUUUAUCGCCAAGAGAUUAGCCCGCGUUGGAUUAGGUAGUUGGUGGGGUAAUGGCCUACCAAGCCGACGAUCCAUAGCUGGUUUGAGAGGAUGAUCAGCCACACUGGGACUGAGACACGGCCCAGACUCCUACGGGAGGCAGCAGUGGGGAAUCUUAGACAAUGGGGGCAACCCUGAUCUAGCCAUGCCGCGUGAGUGAUGAAGGCCUUAGGGUUGUAAAGCUCUUUCAGCUGGGAAGAUAAUGACGGUACCAGCAGAAGAAGCCCCGGCUAACUCCGUGCCAGCAGCCGCGGUAAUACGGAGGGGGCUAGCGUUGUUCGGAAUUACUGGGCGUAAAGCGCACGUAGGCGGACCAGAAAGUUGGGGGUGAAAUCCCGGGGCUCAACCCCGGAACUGCCUUCAAAACUAUUGGUCUGGAGUUCGAGAGAGGUGAGUGGAAUUCCGAGUGUAGAGGUGAAAUUCGUAGAUAUUCGGAGGAACAUCAGUGGCGAAGGCGGCUCACUGGCUCGAUACUGACGCUGAGGUGCGAAAGCGUGGGGAGCAAACAGG